UUGGCCUAAUCUAUCAGAUUGUGUCAGGGAUCAAGGGGCCCAGAGUGCCAUGCUUGUUGGCUUCAUGGACUCUGGAGCGAGCUGCUUGGCUUUGAGCCUGCCUCUGUCCCAGCUAAGUGGGGUCGUCCAAGUCUCAGUUCUUCUGUUUUCAAAGUGAGAAUGACCAUGGCUCCCUCCUCUAGGUUAUCACAGCUAUCGACAGCUAAUCCAUGUGGUGUUCCUGGCUGUGAGGGCUGAAGCUAUCAACACGUGUGUUAGCCAGUGUCCUUAUUUUUAAAAUAAUGACCACUUUUGAGCAUACCAGUCAGUGCUAUGCCCACAGUCAUGUGCUGGGGAGUCCACAGAGACUUUGAGCUCACAGCGUUUGAACCCCAGUUCUCCACUUCUCCCCAGCCCACACCCCCUCAUCGUCUCACCCUUUAUCUUCCUGACUCCAGGUCCCCAAAGCUAUGGCACAAAGUCCAGAGACCUCUUCUUCCCCCGGUACACUUCCUGUAGCCUUGGGACAGAUCCUCUUGCUCCAGCAGCCCUCAGUGGACACCUCCUCACCGUCCACCCCUCUUCAGACCCCUGUGACACACAACCCCGAGAUGCUCCUGGCACACACCCAUGAGGCCUUCUGUGUUAGUCAGCAACUGGCUUCUCUGGCUGUCCUGGAACUUGCUCUGUAAACCAGACUGCCCUUAAAAUUAGAGAUCCGCCGCCUUUUAUCUCCCGAGUGCUGGGAUUAAAAAGUGAAUAAAAGCUGUGAUUGACCGAGCGCGUGCAGAACCCUAAGGAAGCUCCAUGGCCUCAGAAUGGUCAUUCUAGGUACGCAGAGAUGUUCACUGAGAUGGAAGAGCAUGGAAUUGACCCGGCAAGGAAACCAAAGUCCUGCCUCGGGAGUUCACUCCACCCGUAUCCACCCUCCUGGACAGCCACGAUGCAGGGUGUUGCUUCCAUCCACUGCCUCUGUGGAUCUCCAGUCUUCAAGCCUGCCUAGGCUGCCCUCUUCAUGAAGAAGCGCGCUGCCUCCACAUCUGAGGAAUGUUCCAGACCUGCAAAGAGGAAGAGCUUAUGUGUGGCCAGAUGAUCUGGGUUAAGGGGUAGCAGGGAGACCCUUGGUAUCUGGUCUGGAAACUCACAGACAUCCUCCUGCUUCUGCCUCCUGAAUGCUGGGAUUAAAGAUGACAGUGGUGGACACAGCUCAACAGCUUCUUCAAGGUCACACGCCUAAGGAGCAGAACCAAGUUUACACUGAGCCAAAGGCCCCUCCCGACACACUUGGCUGGUUCACCACAUCCUCAGAAGAGCCAUCCUUCCGGAUCCCAUGUAAAGAGUUCUAUCCUAGGUCGUGCAGACGAGUAGAACCAAUCAUGAUCCUAACUCAGGCCCAAAUACCCCCAACUGUAACUCCUCACCUACAUCCCCAGCUCCACCAGGAUUUGGGUGUUUUGAGAUUUUUCUUAAAACUCCCGUACCUCCUUUGAAAUGGAAUCAAAAGCGAAAGCUGACUUAUACCUGAGCUAAGAAAGGCACGAGAGUUUAUUUUCUUUAUUUUUGGGAAGAAGAUUCGGUGAACUCCGCUUCUCAGCGGACUGAUUUUUCGGUGCUCUGGAGACUACGUUCUUCGAGGAUCCCCU